rnacentral:misc_RNA from 1 species
UGACCUCUGGUCUUUGCCGGGAUUGCAUAUGAGGCGCAUCUCGGACUCGAACGACCGUAGCGAAUAAAUAAUCAGCGGACGCUGCGGGAAAUGCCACGGAUAAAUAUCCCGCGGUGAAAAUGUCACGUUCUAAACGCAUCCAGAGAGUGCAGCCGAGCGAGUUACGCAAGCGAGUGUGAGUUUGAACUAUUAGCGGCGGUGAUAUUUCUUCCCUCGUCCGCGUCGGAGAUUUAUCGAGAUGGCCGGUGAUCUUUUCAGCGGCAGGAAGGGAAAAUCCGCGCGCGCGUCGGACGAGCGUGUCUCGCAGGAGGCAAGUUCGCGCCAAUGCAUCGGCAGUCUAACCGCCGGACCAGGCGCGUGUUAUAUGCAUGACAUUGCGUAAAUGACGGGGAAAGUCUCCCCGAGUGGGCCGAGAGAGCGCGGAUAUAAAAUAAAGAGAAAGAAAGAAGCCGACGCUACGAAUUAAUUUCGGGUCAGCGUGGAACGGGAGAAACUCUCGUAACGCUUCGCAGCCGAGUGGUCGUUGGCCGUGAAAAAAAUAUAUGUAUGACACGCUCGACGGUGAACACUGACCUAGAAAAGCGCGGAAACUGUGUGUGUAUGUUAAUCGACUCGCGGGAGUGAAGAUGGAGAAAAAAAAAGGAAGGGAAAGAGAGGCGUGUGUGUACAUACUUUUAUCGACGAACGUAAUCGCAAUUACCGCUGCGCGGCGUAAUUAUCUAAAAUUCACAUCUCGGUGUCGCUCGAUUAACGGGUGUCUGAAGACACUUCUGGUCGUGGCGCAAUGCGGCGACAUAAUGCGCAAGAGCAUCGUCUUCGACAAGAACACCCCGGACGUGUUUUAUUGUCCGCAACACAAGCCGAUCGGUUUCGAGAAGAUGCUAGUCAAGGCAAGGCCGUUGUCCAGGCUGUGCCAGUUCGAGGGUCGCCCGAUACCUGAGGAUUACAAGAGCGACUGCUACAACGACGUGGACGAGACCGAGUACGCGUGCAAGGAAAAGUACAGAAUCAUGAAGCGAUUCAGUAAUCCGGACGGGGAUGUGAAAGCCGUCGACAACGACUACGUCGAGAAGUAAAACGGGCUGCACGGGAGGAGGCUGCACGGUCGAUCCACCCGCACACGCAAUACCAUAAAAUCCAAAUAGAAUCAAAGCCACACCAUAUAUACUAAUGCUCGGAGCUGCAUCGUCCCAGGAGCUCGAUACUCACAAAAUAUAAUACCUAGUACUCGGCGGCGACCAGUAGAUAACUCGUAGUUAUCGCCUCAAGUCAAUGCAUUAUCCAUUUCUUCAUGCAUCACCGCGGUAGACGCGGUAGACGCUGCUGCUACCCGUUGGACGCUGGAUUCUCGCCAUUCCCGCCUAGGAACUCCGUCGAUUCACCGUCAAUCAAACACUCUUCAAUGCCUUCGCGUUGGAACACUCACAGAGUGUAUCCGUCACCGUCACGUUUCAAUCAUUUCUACAAGGGAAAAAAUUGACGGGGGAUCGACGGAUCCUGUCUACCUUCGCGUAGACGGAUAGUGAAAAUCCGAUCUAGAUCGUACACGCUUAACGGAGCAUGUCGUACCGCUCGGCGGAACCAGGCCGGACAGCGCGCAGAGUCUCCCGAGAUCACUCUGAUGUCCAGGACGUCCUGAGAAGUGAGCCUCAGGAUGUCCCGAGAACAUCCAGGAGAACCCCAGGGCGUCUCGCGCUGUCGCAGCAGCUGCUUCGUUAAACUUUCGGAAUGAAGAAACGGAUAACGGAGAGGAAAUUAAUUGACAAACACGCGCGUACGAACAGGACACUCGUGGAAGGAUCAGACACGUGUACUCCGUGAACGGGAGUCUCUUGAAUUCGUUGCGGGGCGCACGCAUAGGCGACCCGAGGCGAGAAACGACAAUAGUGUUCCGUGUUCAAGCUUUGUCAAGGGGGACUUAUUUUGAUAACGUUAUUAAUAAAACUAACCGCAACGGAGCUGGGUAAUCGAUUAAUUAACCCUUUUGACGGAGCUUCGGUGAGUUUUGCUGCUUUCAUGGAUAUACACGUGGAUCCAGCUAAUGCAUAGCUACGCCAGUCGCACCGUUAGCGAUCCAUCCAAUUGAUCAUAUUAGCAUUCCCUAACGGUUACGGACGAUUAGUUACGCGCAUUAAGACGAACUUAUCGAUUAGUAGUAUCUGAUAUUGACAAGCUGAUUAUCUCCGAGAGUAAUCAGACAUAGCGGGAGACAUAUAGUGGCCGGGAACUUCCGUCCGAAUUAUUUUCGAUAGCACGAAUUUCGAUGAUGCGAGAUAUCGACAGAGAUUUCCUUGUCCAUCGUCGUGUAUGAAAGUUUCUUCUAUGUUCGAACGUGUGUGCGUAUAUAAACACAUACACACACACACACACACACACACACACACAUAAUAUAUAUAUCUAUAUAUAUACACACGUAACAAAUAAACCUUUGCAGAAUAAAUAGAUAUUGCUCGUGUGUGAUUUUUCACCAUCAGUUCUCGUCAAGAUAAUAUCGAGAGAAAUACACCUUGCGCGGGCAGCGGACACGUGGCGAUGAGACUUCAUCCGCCGGGAAGCGACACGCCUUAUAACGGGACACGCCUGUACAAGUUCUUGGCCUUCGACAAAGAUUUACCGUACGCGCGGAAGAAUCAGGUGUAAGGAGAGCGGCUGCAUCCAAGGACACUACGGGGACGCCUGUCGCGCCUGUCGCGAUGCAGUCGCGCGAGUUGAAACCGAGUCCGUGUUGAGUCUCAACACGUUCGGAAACGAGCGUCGCUCGGACAGUUCCUGUAAACCAAUUAACACUUCGCCGAUGAGACGCGUUCGCCUUCUUUUCACACGGACAAGGAAGUAUUACGCGUUGGCGGAAAUACUUUCUAGCGCGGGAAAUAUCCUUCGCUAGAAAUUACACUUUCCGACCGAAGAGACUUUUUCGGACUUCUUUUGGGUGUCUUGUUGAAUAUAUUAGAUGUAUCAGAUGCUCUCAAGACGUCUCUUGGGACUUUCUGAUGCUUGAGGAGGGGGGAGGGUUAAUAGGUACUUUAGACUAAUUGUUUGCAUUUUUUUACUGUGUGAAAAAUGUAAUUUGUUGAUACGUACGUCCGUUCGGAUUGACUGUUUGGAAAAUUUCUUUGAAUCUGCCGCCAAAGUCCUCAUCAACGAAGUGUUAAUGAAAGAAAGAGAGAGUGAGUCAGUCUUUACGCGAUCGAUCGUGCGGGCCGGUCCCACAAUGAUCGCUCUUAUUUAUUUUCGACGCUUAUUGUCGCGACGCUUGCCUGAAACCAUCUAACGUUCCUAACGUUCGGUUUAACGCAGGUGAAUAAACGAACGUGAUUCUCGUCCUGUAGUGUCAGAUUAUCUCAUGUCCGUGUAACGUGAAAACGUCGAGCGUUUUUCUUUUGAUUGUUCGUAUAUAACUUGUACACUUAUAUAGAUAUAUAAACGAAGAGAGAGAGUAAUAUAUUUUAAAGGGAAAUAUAUCAGGAGAUAUAUAUGCCCGUCGCACUUUUACACGCGUCUUGUGUUACCUGUAAUCGAUAAGUAUCUUGGCGUUGACUAAAUAGUGUGACUAAAUAAUGCGUGCUCGUGUAAAUUAAUAUAUUAAUACAUUUAUUAGGAUGAUAUUUUCAAGGAUAGCUCGAAAUGCCCAAUAUUUAGAUGGGUUACAGUGUAAUUCGUGUUGCGGCAUUCAAUCGGAGAAAUAUAUGCUGAAUACAUUAGA